UUAGAGUUUGAUCCUGGCUCAGAACGAACGCUGGCGGCGUGGAUUAGGCAUGCAAGUUGAACGUGAUCAUGAAGUUUGAUGCUUCGGUUGAGAGCUUCAUGUGAAAGUAGCGAACGGGUGAGUAACGCGUGGGCAAUUUGCCCUUAAGUGCGGGAUAGCUUCUCGAAAGGGAAGGUAAUACCGCAUGUGGUGACCCUGCGCCUGCAGGGGACUCUAAAGGUGGGGAUCUUCGGACCUGCCGCUUAAGGAUGAGCCCGCGUCCCAUCAGCUAGUUGGUAGGGUAACGGCCUACCAAGGCUUUGACGGGUAGCUGGUCUGAGGGGAUGGUCAGCCACACUGGGACUGAGACACUGCCCAGACUCCUACGGGAGGCUGCAGUCGAGAAUCAUUGUCAAUGCACGAAAGUGUGAACAUGCGACGCCGCGUGCAGGAUGAAGGCCUUCGGGUUGUAAACUGCUGUCAUGAGGGAACAAUAGCCGGUCGGCCAAUACCCGGCCGGCUGGAUGGACCUCAGGAGAAGCCACGGCAA
rnacentral:rRNA from 1 species